UACGGGGGGGGCAAGCGUUGUUCGGAAUUACUGGGCGUAAAGGGCGCGUAGGCGGCUUGGCAAGUGGAUGGUGAAAUCCCUCGGCUUAACCGAGGAACUGCCAUCCAGACUGCUUUGCUUGAGGCCGGGAGAGGUGAGUGGAAUUCCCAGUGUAGCGGUGAAAUGCGUAGAUAUUGGGAGGAACACCAGUGGCGAAGGCGGCUCACUGGACCGGUUCUGACGCUGAUGCGCGAAAGCGUGGGGAGCAAACGGG
rnacentral:rRNA from 1 species